AACGAACGCUGGCGGCAUGCCUAACACAUGCAAGUCGAACGAGACCUUCGGGUCUAGUGGCGCACGGGUGCGUAACGCUUGGGAACCUGCCCUUAGGUUCGGAAUAACUCCCCGAAAGGGGUGCUAAUACCGGAUAAUGUCUUCGGACCAAAGAUUUAUCGCCUUUGGAUGGGCCCGCGUUGGAUUAGCUAGUUGGUAGGGCAAAAGCCUACCAAGGCGACGAUCCAUAGCUGGUCUGAGAGGAUGAUCAGCCACACUGGGACUGAGACACGGCCCAGACUCCUACGGGAGGCAGCAGUGGGGAAUAUUGGACAAUGGGCGAAAGCCUGAUCCAGCAAUGCCGCGUGAGUGAUGAAGGCCUUAGGGUUGUAAAGCUCUUUUACCCGGGAUGAUAAUGACAGUACCGGGAGAAUAAGCUCCGGCUAACUCCGUG
rnacentral:rRNA from 1 species